UUCGGAUUGUAGUCUGCAACUCGACUACAUGAAGCCGGAAUCGCUAGUAAUCGCGGAUCAGAAUGCCGCCGGUGAAUACGUUCCCGGGUCUUGUACACACCGCCCGUCACACCAUGGGAGUCGGAAAUGCCCGAAGUCAGUGACCCAACCGAGAGGAGGGAGCUGCCGAAGGCAGGUCUGGUAACUGGGGUGAAGUCGUAACAAGGUAAC
rnacentral:rRNA from 1 species